GUGAGUCAUCGAAUCUUUGAACGCACCUUGCGCUCCUUGGUAUUCCGAGGAGCAUGCCUGUUUGAGUGUCAUGAAAUCUUCAACUUACAAGCUCUUUGCGGGGUUUGUAGGCUUGGACUUGGAGGCUUGUCGGCCUUUAACGGUCGGCUCCUCUUAAAUGCAUUAGCUUGAUUUCCUUGCGGAUCGGCUGUCGGUGUGAUAAUGUCUACUCCGCGACCGUGAAGCGUUUGGCAAGCUUCUAACCGUCUCGUUACAGAGACAGCUUUAUGACCUCUGACCUCAAAUCAGGUAGGACUACCCGCUGAACUUAAGCAUAUCAAUAAGCGGAGGA
rnacentral:misc_RNA from 1 species